rnacentral:rRNA from 1 species
GCGCAGGCUACACAUGCAAGAUCGAGCGGAUGAGGGGAGCUUGCUCCCUGAUUUAGCGGCGGACGGGUGAGUAAUGCCUAGGAAUCUGCCUGGUAGUGGGGGAUAACGUUCCGAAAGGAACGCUAAUACCGCAUACGUCCUACGGGAGAAAGCAGGGGACCUUCGGGCCUUGCGCUAUCAGAUGAGCCUAGGUCGGAUUAGCUAGUUGGUGAGGUAAUGGCUCACCAAGGCGACGAUCCGUAACUGGUCUGAGAGGAUGAUCAGUCACACUGGAACUGAGACACGGCCCAGACUCCUACGGGAGGCAGCAGUGGGGAAUAUUGGACAAUGGGCGAAAGCCUGAUCCAGCCAUGCCGCGUGUGUGAAGAAGGUCUUCGGAUUGUAAAGCACUUUAAGUUGGGAGGAAGGGCAUUAACCUAAUACGUUAGUGUUUUGACGUUACCAACAGAAUAAGCACCGGCAAACUUCGUGCCAGCAGCCGCGGUAAUACGAAGGGUGCAAGCGUUAAUCGGAAUUACUGGGCGUAAAGCGCGCGUAGGUGGUUCGUUAAGUUGGAUGUGAAAGCCCCGGGCUCAACCUGGGAACUGCAUCCAAAACUGGCGAGCUAGAGUACGGUAGAGGGUGGUGGAAUUUCCUGUGUAGCGGUGAAAUGCGUAGAUAUAGGAAGGAACCACCCAGUGGCGAAGGCGA